UUGAAGAAGAGGCAAGUUCGGUCAUGAUGAAGAAAAAUCAAGGCGUACCCCCUUUAACAAUAGGGAGCAGCUCGAGGCUGCAAAGAGGUCAUUAUAAUGGCACUGUAAAGGGAUAGCUCCAAACUAACAGAGCUGCUUCUAAGAUGAAAAAAAACUCCUAAUGUCAAGAUUUGAAGAAAG